GGAUGUGAGGGUGAUCCGGCUGCAACAUCUGUUGCCCCGUUGAUCACCAGGGUUCAUUCGGCUGACCUGGCCAGUAGGCGGGUGUCCCCUUCCUCCCUUAUCGCUCCAUGUGUGUCCCGCCUGAAGCUUCACGCCCUGUCAAAGAGGACGGCCUCCCCAAAUUGAGAUGGACCGGUCGUCUUCAGCUGAGGACAUCUGAGUAGCUGCGCUCCUGGCCAGAACCCAAACAGGCUCUCAGAAUUCCAGGCCAGGAACAUGGCUCAGCAGUAGUGUCA
rnacentral:snRNA from 1 species